rnacentral:rRNA from 1 species
AUUGAACGCUGGCGGCAGGCUUAACACAUGCAAGUCGAACGAGUGGAGGACGGGUGAGUAAUGCUUGGGAAUCUAGCUUAUGGAGGGGGAUAACUACGGGAAAAUGUAGCUAAUACCGCGUACCAUAGGAUGAGCCCAAGUGGGACUAGGUAGUUGGUGAGGUAAAGGCUCACCAAGGCGACGAUCCCUAGCUGGUCUGAGAGGAUGAUCGGCAACCCUGGGACUGAGACACGGCCCAGACUCCUACGGGAGGCAGCAGUGGGGAAUAUUGCACAAUGGGCGCAAGCCUGAUGCAGCCAUGCCGCGUGUAUGAAGAAGGCCUUCGGGUUGUAAAGUACUUUCAGCGAGUAGGCGUUACUCGCAGAAGAAGCACCGGCUAACUCCGUGCCAGCCGCCGCGGUAAUAC